UGGCGAACGGGUGAGUAAUACAUCGGAACGUGCCCAGUCGUGGGGGAUAACUACUCGAAAGAGUAGCUAAUACCGCAUACGAUCUGAGGAUGAAAGCGGGGGACCUUCGGGCCUCGCGCGAUUGGAGCGGCCGAUGGCAGAUUAGGUAGUUGGUGGGAUAAAAGCUUACCAAGCCGACGAUCUGUAGCUGGUCUGAGAGGACGACCAGCCACACUGGGACUGAGACACGGCCCAGACUCCUGCGGGAGGCAGCAGUGGGGAAUUUUGGACAAUGGGCGAAAGCCUGAUCCAGCAAUGCCGCGUGCAGGAUGAAGGCCUUCGGGUUGUAAACUGCUUUUGUACGGAACGAAAAAGCUUCUCCUAAUACGAGAGGCCCAUGACGGUACCGUAAGAAUAAGCACCGGCUAACUACGUGCCAGCAGCCGCGGUAAUACGUAGGGUGCGAGCGUUAAUCGGAAUUACUGGGCGUAAAGCGUGCGCAGGCGGUUAUGUAAGACAGAUGUGAAAUCCCCGGGCUCAACCUGGGAACUGCAUUUGUGACUGCAUGGCUAGAGUACGGUAGAGGGGGAUGGAAUUCCGCGUGUAGCAGUGAAAUGCGUAGAUAUGCGGAGGAAUACCGAUGGCGAAGGCAGCCAUCUGGCCUAAUACUGACGCUGAGGUACGAAAGCAUGGGGAGCAAACAGGAUUAGAUACCCUGGUAGUCCAUGCCGUANACGAUGUCUACUAGCCGUUGGGGCCUUUGAGGCUUUAGUGGCGCAGCUAACGCGAUAAGUAGACCGCCUGGGGAGUACGGUCGCAAGACUAAAACUCAAAUGAAUUGACGGGGGCCCGCACAAGCGGUGGAGCAUGUGGUUUAAUUCGAUGCAACGCGAAGAACCUUACCUGGUCUUGACAUAGUAAGAACUUUCCAGAGAUGGAUUGGUGCCUUCGGGAACUUACAUACAGGUGCUGCAUGGCUGUCGUCAGCUCGUGUCGUGAGAUGUUGGGUUAAGUCCCGCAACGAGCGCAACCCUUUUCCUUAUUUGCCAGCGGGUUAAGCCGGGAACUUUAAGGAUACUGCCAGUGACAAACUGGAGGAAGGCGGGGACGACGUCAAGUCAUCAUGGCCCUUACGACCAGGGCUACACACGUGCUACAAUGGUCGGUACAAAGGGUUGCUACCUAGCGAUAGGAUGCUAAUCUCAAAAAGCCGAUCGUAGUCCGGAUUGGAGUCUGCAACUCGACUCCAUGAAGUCG
rnacentral:rRNA from 1 species